AUAUUUUCUUCAUUACAUGAAUAAAUUGAUACUAAUCCAACAUUAUUAUAAAUAUGUCCUCUUCUUUCAAUACAUCUGUUAUUAUUAUUAUUAUUAUUAUUAUUAUUAUUAUUAUUGUUGUUGUUAUUAUUAAAAUUGUUGGUAGAAUUAUAUUUCCAAUAUAGUUGUUUAAAGUUUUUUUAUUUUAGGACUACAUAAUAAAUAAAAAUAUAUUUUUAUAUAUGUAUUGUAUAAUAAUCUACGUAAGUAAUUAUUAUGUCUGUACUUAAAUAGUUUUAUAAGUUUUAUAAGUUUUGUAUGUUUUCUUUUAUUUGUAUUUGUAUAUACUGUAUAAGAUGUUAUACAUAUUAGUUGAUCAAUCAUCUUUUUUAAUUCUUAAAGUGUAAUCAGACAUAUUUCUUUUAUCACAUACUUGCAUGUUAUAUAAAAUAUAUAAUAAGUUUGUAUUUAUAAUAUAAAGGUAUUUAUUUACAUUUGAAAAUUUUAUUAUAUCUAUUAUUGAUCCGAGUUUUUGUUUAUUUGUUUUGGUUGUAUCACCAAUUUUUUGUAUUCUUUUUAAUGUAGGAAUCACUUGUUCGGUUAAGUUGCUUUAUUAGUUUUUUAAUACCACUUCGUUUUAAAUCGUUUUUGCAUAUACCACUAUACAUACCACUACAUAUACCACUACACAUACCACUACACAUACCACUACACAUACUACUACAUAUACCACUACACAUACCACUACAUAUACCACUACAUAUACCACUACAUAUACCACUACACAUACUACUACAUAUACCACUACACAUACCACUACAUAUACCACUACACAUACUACUACAUAUACCACUACACAUACCACUACAUAUACCACUACACAUACUACUACAUAGUUUUUUGCACAUAUCUUUAUUAAUCAUUUUCACAUGUAUUAAACGGAUCACUUGAUUAAGCCAUAACAUUAAAUAUAUUAUUUUAUAUUCCAAUGCAUUUACUAUAUUUACACGAUAUGAUUUAUCACCAUCUGUUUGUUCGGUAUACCCCAUGUUACGACUACUAUUAGUAGCACCAGUAACAGCAGUUAUAAUUUGCAAAAACUUUAUUAAAAACUUUUCUCUUAUAUUAUUUGUAGGUAUUUUUAAUAAUAUGUCGUUAAUUUUUUUGAUAUUAUUAAUAUUGGUUAUUUUUUUUAGUUAAAUCUGUAUAUAGGACACUAUUAUUUAUAACUUUAGAUGCACUUUUUGGUGCAUCCAAAUAUGUACCACCUAACUUAGAUACAUUUGAAUAUCUCGUAAUUAGUUCAUCAACAAUAUGUAUUCUGAUAGAAGCAUGGUUCGAAGCGCUUCCAGAAAAAUAAACGAAAAAAGGGUUACUUGUUCUUUUACA
rnacentral:lncRNA from 1 species